CCUCAGUGCUUGUCGUAGUUCUCCACAUUAGUCAGGAAGGACAGAGGAAAUGUUGCUGAGAAGAGUGCUGGGCUAGUUGAACGAGAAAGCCAGUCAGCAGCUACCAGACCAGACUGACGAGUGAAAGCUAAUAUAUCUCAACCCCAUGGCAUGACUCACCGAUGACAUCAGCUAACUGUACUUUAGGAUUCAUAAAUGAAAUUAUUUGCUUUUCGCAGCCUGAGGAUUAUAGAGGCAUCCUAGACUGAGCCAUGGCAGGAGGGAGCUGCCAUUUUGUUUCACAGAUGCGGGUCGGAUCCUUUCUGGGGAGAUUUCUUUAUACUUCAUGUGUCCGUGGGGUGCAGGUGAGAACAAGGACCCCACUGCAUUCUUGCUACUUUCAUGUUUCAAAAUCUAGCACUUCAUCUCAUGUGGUUCCAGUUUUUUCCAGAGCACCUUUUUUUAGUGAAAGAACAGCUAUGGUGGACCAGCAUGGGAAGCAUACAUACAAGGAGUUAUAUAUCAGGAGCCAAGCUUUAUCUAAAAUGAUCAUCCAGCUCUUGGGUCAUCCAAGUCGUAAUAAUCCACCAGAAAGGGUCUCUUUUCUCUGUCCAAACAACUCGUCAUAUGUAGUGUGCCAAUGGGCAGUAUGGAUGAGUGGUGCCAUUGCUGUGCCUCUCUACAAGAGUCAUCCACCUUCUGAGCUAAAGUAUAUUUUGCAGGAUUCCCAGAGUGCUCUGGUUGUGGCAGAGGAAAGUUAUGCAAAUGUAAUGAACCCAUUAGCAGAGCAGUUGGGAAUUCCAGUGCUGACAAUGUCUGGGUCUCAGAACCUUCACCCUUCAGAACUGCUGCAAGAAAUCGAAGUAUCAAAACUUGAGUUGGACUGGAAAGACAGAGGAGCCAUGAUAAUUUACACAAGUGGAACCACUGGAAGACCAAAGGGUGUUCUCAGCACCCAUUACAACCUAUAUUCUAUGGUUUCAGCUCUGGUCACUGAGUGGGGUUGGACAAAAGAAGACAGCAUCCUUCAUGUACUGCCCCUUCACCAUGUUCAUGGGGUGGUAAACAAGUUGAUGUGCCCCUUGUGGGUAGGAGCAACCUGUGUGAUGCUACCAGAUUUUUGCCCACAAAAGGUCUGGCAGCACUUUCUCAGGAGAGAUGCACCCUCUAUCAACAUUUUCAUGGCAGUGCCAACCAUCUACAGCAAGCUGAUUUCUUACUAUGAGCAGCAUUUUACCCAUUCCAAUGUGCGAGAGUUUGUGCGGGCAGCAUGUCAGGAGAGAAUCAGAUUAAUGGUGUCAGGCUCCUCGGCCCUCCCUGUGCCGAUUUUGGAACGUUGGCAAGAGAUCACUGGGCAUACCCUGUUGGAAAGAUAUGGCAUGACUGAAAUCGGGAUGGCUUUGACCAAUCCACUCCAUGGACCCCGUGUGCCUGGUAUAUGUGUGCAGUUGGUAACCCUCUGCCGGGGGUGGAAGUACGUACUGUUACCCAGAACCCACGGAAAGAGGGCACCUCCUACACUGUCCAUGCUCAUGGAGAUUCUACAGGCACCAUGGUCUCUGUUGGUUUGGAGAAUAGAGAAGGGGAGCUUCAGGUUCAGGGGCCUGCAGUGUUCAAAGAAUAUUGGAACAAACCACAUGAGACGCAGGAAGCUUUUACCUCAGAUGGCUGGUUUAAAACAGCUAAUAAACUGAAACGAAGAGUGUGAUGUAUGCGAACAGAUGGAGGACUAUUGAUGCAGUUCCAUGUGUAAAGGGGGGGCAAGAGAUGGGGGAUAACACACACACACACACAAACUUCCAGAAGAAUUUAGGUUCUCUUGAGAAGAUAUAUUUGGAGAACAGUCCUAUAUUGUGAAAUCUUAUAAAAGGGAGGUAUUUAACUGAGCAGAAUAUAUACAUGCAGUGUGGUUUUGCACCUGCUUACGUUCUUUAUAAUGAUUAAUGAUAAGGUCACUAAACCAUCUAUAAUGCAAUCUCCCAUAGGGACACAGCUAAAUUGAGAGUUUAGCCUAUCUCCCAAAUGGCAAAAAGCUGCAGGUGGCUUUCUGGUUGUUAAUGUGGUGGAAAUUUGGUUUUCUGAUUAGUGCAUUAUAAUAAAGAUCGAUAUAGAGGAAGUAGAUAUAUUCUUUUUCUGAGACUCCCCAACAAAUACUUUGUAAAUAUGAGGUAAAGUAUGACAGUGACUUCAGAACUAUAGCAUUGGCUUGUAUAGGAUGGCAUAUUAAACUAACGUAAAGAUUACAAGACAAUCAUAUUCAUUACUGUAGUCCUAAUGCAUAGUUAUUAAAAUCUGGCAAGGAAUCACCUUGGCAAUAACAAGAGACCAUGGUCAGUCUAUGGCUGUAUUCCACUAAAUGCUUAGUGGCUAACGCUUUUUGGUUAAAGCUUAUUCUUCUUAUUCUCUGCAUUUCCAAAUGCUUCCUCUCCUCCUCCUCUACCACCAUUUGUUCUCUCACUUUUGGACUGCUCAGGGAUGCUAGCUCUGAGUUUGUCUCGUCUCAUACUUACCUUUGCCCAAGGGUAUACAGGGCCCUCGCUCCUUGUUGGGAUGACAUUCAGUGUAUAGUUCUAAGCCAGGAUGACAUUUAGUAGAUAGUGCAGACAGUUCUAAGCUAGUAACCACUUUGAUCCACCAUUAAGAACACCAUAUUAAUGUUGGUUUUGUUUUAUUUGCCCUUUGAAAUCUCCCUUUUCUCUCUGUGGGAGAAAGGCAGGACACUGGUCCAGUUUUAUUAUGCCCUCUUAAUGAAUGAUCUCAUCGGUGGUUCUUAAAUUAACUAAGGUACAAAGUGGUGGCUUCCAUAAUAGUCCUGAAAAAAUGUCACUGACUGAUCAUACCAUUGAGUUCAGAUGUGUAGAACUGCAAAGAAAACCAAAGCAGAUUGAUAGAUCUGCAUUCCAUUGUUUUAGUAUUUUGAAGCAGCAGAUAAGCAGUAACUGCAAUUGUUUUAUAUUGUAGGGUACAGGAUUAUAGCCCAUAUAGCAAAUGUUGCUUGGUUCAGUAACGUGCACCUUCCUGAGCAGGAAAUCUGCUUUGUAUUGCCCAAAUACAUCUGCUGGAGUUGCUGCCUGAGACUGAGUUGGCAGAUCAUGCACACUGCUUAUGGAAACAGAUGAGAAGAAGUCUCCUAAUUCAUCCUGAACCUUCCCUGGGGAGUGCUGUCGUGUUUAUUACCCAAGAGACUGCAUUCUAGGGUCAGGCAUGAAUUAGCUGAAGCAGUAGCAGUACAUCUUACAAGCGAUGAUGGAUAGCUGUGCUUCAUGUAGCAAAUGACAGAUCACUGGGCACGUUGCAAACUGUUAAAUAAACAGCUAUGCACUUUACUAAAGAGGGGAUACAGCUGUGUAUAAGGACGGCACAUACUGGAUACUGGGCCGGACAUCUGUGGACAUUAUUAAAAGUGGCGGAUAUAAG